rnacentral:rRNA from 1 species
AGCAGCCGCGGUAAUUCCAGCUCCAAUAGCGUAUAUUAAAGUUGUUGCAGUUAAAAAAGCUCGUAGUUGAAUUUCGGGAUCAAUACGUUGGUCGUGCUUUCGGGUACGUACUGGCGUCAUUGGUUUCUCUCUUCUGACGAACCAUGAUGUCAUUAAUUUGGUGUUAUGGGGAGUUAGGACUGUUACUUUGAAAAAAUUAGAGUGUUUAAAGCAGGCUCACGCUUGAAUACAUUAGCAUGGAAUAAUGAAAUAGGACGUUUGAUUCUAUUUUGUUGGUUUCUAGGAUCGACGUAAUGAUUAAUAGGGAUAGUUGGGGGCAUUAGUAUUCAAUUGUCAGAGGUGAAAUUCUUGGAUUUAUUGAAGACUAACUACUGCGAAAGCAUUUGCCAAGGAUGUUUUCAUUAAUCAAGAACGAAAGUUAGGGGAUCGAAGACGAUCAGAUACCGUCGUAGUCUUAACCAUAAACUAUGCCGACUAGGGAUCGGAUGAUGUUAAUUUUUUUAAUGACUCAUUCGGCGCC